rnacentral:tRNA from 1 species
GGCCGGUUAGCUCAGUCGGUUGAACAUGGUGCUGAUAACACCAAGGUCAUGGGUUCAAUCCCCACUCGGUCC